rnacentral:rRNA from 1 species
GACAGAGGGUGCAAACGUUGUUCGGAAUUACUGGGCGUAAAGCGAGUGUAGGCGGUCCGAUAAGUCGGGUGUGAAAGCCCUGGGCUCAACCCAGGAAGUGCACUCGAAACUGCCGGGCUAGAGUAUCGGAGAGGUUGGUGGAAUUCUCGGUGUAGAGGUGAAAUUCGUAGAUAUCGAGAGGAACACCGGUGGCAAAGGCGGCCAACUGGACGAAUACUGACGCUGAGACUCGAAAGCGUGGGGAGCAAACAGG